rnacentral:rRNA from 1 species
UUAAAUUGAAGAGUUUGAUCAUGGCUCAGAUUGAACGCUGGCGGCAGGCCUAACACAUGCAAGUCGAACGGUAACAGGGAUCAGC